rnacentral:rRNA from 1 species
GAAAUCGGAUAAGUAAUGUGAAUUGCAGAAUUCAGUGAAUCAUCGAAUCUUUGAACGCACCUUGCGCUCCUUGGUAUUCCGAGGAGCAUGCCUGUUUGAGUGUCAUUAAAUUCUCAACCUUACCAGUUUUGAUACAAAACUGUGUAAGGCUUGGAUUAUGGGGGUUUAUGCAGGCUCAUUUUUGUAGUCAGCUCCCCUGAAACACAUUAGCGAGUUGUAACUARGACUCCUUUCUAUUGGUGUGAUAAUUAUCUACGCCGUGGAUUGGUCUUAGACUUGCUUCUAAUCGUCCGUAAGGACAAUAUAUGACAAUUGACCUCAAAUCAGGUAG